UAAGCUGAGAGGUCCAGUACACCAAGAUGCUAGUUGGGUUGGGAGUGCUAUGGACUAGGUCAAGUGCCUGUUGAACAGCUAAAUGUGGUUGACUAAACAAGGAGCAUGGGGCAGUUGUGCAGAGAGAAGCAGACAUGUAACAUGGAUGAGUCUUAUUAACGACAAACUUCUAGAACAGAGGUUCAGGCUACGUCUAGACAUUUCCCGAAGCUCCAGGCACAAUGAGCUCUAUUUGUACUUGAAUUCCUACCCUUGGAUUUCUGCUUCCUGAUCUGGCUUCAUUUGGUGCCUGUUUCUUGCAUCCAAAAGAGGCCCAACCAAAGCAACCCUUUACAUAGAUUUCAUUUAAUUUGUGCUUCGUCCCCUCUGAGGUUGCCUUGAUCGUGGAGCUUUGUCACAGCAACAGAUAAAUGAUGAAGACGGCAAAGGGCACAUGUGCCAUGGAGCCCAUUUGGAGGUCAGAGGACAACCUAUGGGUAUUGGUUCUCUCUUUGCACCAUGCAGGACUUGGAAUGAAACUCAGAUCUGGUAAAGAGGAGAUCCUUCAAGUUAGCUUGAGUGUUCCUUUACCAUGCUGCCAUUAGUCUUUGAGUACUUCCUGCAAAUCCCGUUUCUUCUAGCAUAAAAUGGUAUUUUGUUGGGAUUGUAGCUGUAUGCCACCACACCUGACACUGCUCUUUGGAAGCUCAGCAGCCUUCUCAUACUGAAGGGGAAGAAGCAUUCAUGGAGAUGAACGUGCAGGAAACUGCCAACACCAUGAUCAACUACUACACAUCGGUGGUGCCAGUGCUGUGCUGCCAGACAACUAUGUCCAGCUAGGCCAUGGACACCAAGAUGUGAUGGCUAACCAGAGGCCUAUACUCUGUUUCAUCAUAGAAAAAUCUCUGCUACCCAGCGACCUUGGAUGCUCUGCACCAGAACUUCUUCAAGUUUGGCACUUUCCCCAAGAUCACCAUCUUCACUAAGGAUGGCCAGUCCCAGGUGCUGCUGCACUAUACCCUCCACAUGGGCAUCCAGGAUGUUCAACUGCGUCUGGACAGCCAGAACAUCUACAGCGACUGCUGCAUACCACACAACAACUCUUCCAAGCUCACUGUGCUGGUUGACUUUUGUCAGCUUGACAACAAACCUAGUCACGCCUGGGAAGAGGGAAUCUUAGUUGAGAGACUUCCUCUGUUGGUUGUUGUGGAAGGACACAGCUCAUUGUGGGUGAUACCACUUGUGGGCAUGUGAUCCUGGGUUCUAAGAAAGCAGGCUGAGAAAGCCAUGAAAGCAGGCCAGUAAGCAGUGUUUCUCCAUAGCCUCUGCUUCAGUUUCUGCCUCUAUGCUUCUGCCUUGAGUUCCUGCCUUGACUUCUCUUAGAGGUGUGAGCUGCAAUAAAGCCUUUUCUCCCUGCA